rnacentral:rRNA from 1 species
ACCCUUGGGGGCAGGGCUAUUACAUGCAGUCGAGCGGUCGCAGGGAGAAAGCUUGCUUUCCCCGCUGACGAGCGGCGGACGGGUGAGUAAUGUCUGGGGAUCUGCCUGAUGGAGGGGGAUAACUACUGGAAACGGUAGCUAAUACCGCAUAACGUCGCAAGACCAAAGUGGGGGACCUUCGGGCCUCAUGCCAUCAGAUGAACCCAGAUGGGAUUAGCUAGUAGGUGAGGUAAUGGCUCACCUAGGCGACGAUCCCUAGCUGGUCUGAGAGGAUGACCAGCCACACUGGAACUGAGACACGGUCCACACUCCUACGGGUGGCAUCAGUGGGGAAUAUUGCACAAUGGGCGCAAGCCUGAUGCACCCAUGCCGCGUGUAUGAAGAAGGCCUUCGGGUUGUAAAGUACUUUCAGUAGGGAGGAAGGUGUACGUGUUAAUAGCACGUACAAUUGACGCUACCUACAGAAGAAGCACCGGCUAACUCCGUGCCAGCAGCCGCGGUAAUACGGAGGGUGCACGCGUUAAUCGUAAUUACUGGGCGUAAAGCGCACGCAGGCGGUUUGUUAAGUUGGAUGUGAAAUCCCCGGGCUUAACCUGGGAACUGCAUCCAAGACUGGCAAGCUAGACUCGUAGAGGGAGGUAGAAUUCCAGGUGUAGCGGUGAAAUGCGUAGAGAUCUGGAGGAAUACCGGUGGCGAAGGCGGCCUCCUGGACGAAGACUGACGCUCAGGUGCGAAAGCGUGGGGGAGCAAACAGGAUUAGAUACCCUGGUAGUCCACGCUGUAAACGAUGUCGACUUGGAGGUUGUGCCCUUGAGGCGUGGCUUCCGAAGCUAACGCGUUAAAUCGACCGCCUGGGGAGUACGGCCGCAAGGUUAAAACUCAAAUGAAUUGACGGGGGCUCGCACAAGCGCGGGAGCAUGUGGUCUAAUUCGAUGCAACGCGAAGAACCUUACCUACUCUUGACAUCCAGCGAAUCCUGUAGAGAUACGGGAGUGCCUCCGGGAACGCUGAGACAGGUGCUGCAUGGCUGUCGUCAGCUCGUGUUGUGAAAUGUUGGGUUAAGUCCUGCAACGAGCGCAACCCUUAUCCUUUGUUGCCAGCGGUUCGGCCGGGAACUCAAAGGAGACUGCCAGUGAUAAACUGGAGGAAGGUGGGGAUGACGUCAAGUCAUCAUGGCCCUUACGAGUAGGGCUACACACGUGCUACAAUGGCGUAUACAAAGAGAAGCGACCUCGCGAGAGCAAGCGGACCUCAUAAAGUACGUCGUAGUCCGGAUUGGAGUCUGCAACUCGACUCCAUGAAGUCGGAAUCGCUAGUAAUCGUGGAUCAGAAUGCCACGGUGAAUACGUUUCCGGGCCUUGUACACACCGCCCGUCACACCAUGGGAGUGGGUUGCAAAAGAAGUAGGUAGCUUAACCUUCGGGAGGGCGCUUACUUUUCUUGGAUUUUUAAGGUUGGGCG